GUCUGACAUGUGGCCUAACUUUGCUAUACAUGUGUGGUCUUGUACAAAAGCAAUUGUACUGCUGUACGUAUAGCAUUUCUAUAAAAAAAAAAAUCACUGGAUCGGACCUCACGCAGUCAGUCCCUACUCUGAAGCUCCUCUAACUCUCUUUACUCAUACCAUGGCCGCCCUUCCAUGGCAUCCCCGCCGGCGUGAGCGUGACACCCUCCACUGCCUCCCCGCUGCUAGCGCCGAGGACUCCGCUCUCCCCUAGUUCCCCUCCGCCUCUGCGAGGACCGUGCUCUCCCCAGGCCAAGUGACACUGAGCGAAGCAUGGGCGUAGGUAUCCUCAGGCCGCGAGCGCGUUGGAAGGAUUCGCAGCACCGGUUUUUUCCCUCCCGGCUGCUGCCCGAGCCCGACAAGUGAUGCUGGCGAGGGAUGCCCUGCUCCGGCUGGGUGGCCGUGCCUCGAGCCUCCCCGAACGUCCCAAGUGGGGUAUGCUCGGUCGACGCCCCCUCUCAACCUCGCUCGCGAUUGGUCUCGACUUGGAGGGCUCUGCAGCUCCUACCUCCUUCCCAUCCUCAUCCUCCUGCGGGACAAGAUGUUGAUCGGAGCCAGCGCCGAGGAUGCCCUGCUGCGGUGGGUUGGGCGUGUGGCGAGCCUCCAAGUGUGCCGUGAGCGAUUCACCAUAGACGCUCGACCUGUCACCCGUGUGCACCGAGGCGCUGACCGUGUCAUUCUCCUCCAAGACCAAAAUUCUUAGAUAAUUCCUGGGAACAACAUAAACAAAACUGAAACCAGGAAAAGGGUGUCGGAUAAUUACUGUGGAGAUUUGGAAUUAUUGGGGAGUUUUUAGGACCAAGAAACUCACAUUUGUCAAUUCGGAUUCAAGAUUCUCAGGUUUCGAAGUUGGUAAUGCUUGCUCCUUUGCUCCAUCGUUGAUGGUUUCCUGUACAUGCACACAAAACUCUUACAUUAGUGGAGAACCAGGACUACUAAACAACCGAACAGUGAAAAAUCUUCCAGACAUAUAAUGCUUUUUCUUGUAUUGCCUUUGUCGACUCGGGGUUUGUAUCAUUGUAUUUGGUUAUCACUUCUUCAGUCUUCAUAUUAUCUGUGUCCUCAUCCAUUGAUCCCAUGUCGAUGUUUUCCUGAAAACCAAGCAUAUAAUCACUCUUAAUUACGAAACCUUGCAAAGUCUUUAAUUACGAAGCCUUGCAAACUAUGAAGUUACAUAGAUAUAUAUCAUUACCGCAUUGAUAGCAUGGACAAUAGCACCGAAUCUGGGUGGAGAUUGAUCCGCAGAGGACAUCGGGGAUGUCGCCCCAGACAUUGAGACUGAUGCAACACGGCCAGAUUCGUAGGGCGAGUGGACAGUCUUGAGGUGGAGGAGGCCGGCGAGGUGGAGGAGACUGUGGAUGCGGCGAUUGUGGUAGGGAAGAGUAUCGUGGUGACGGCUUCUGGCGGUUGCUGUAGAGUUGUAGUUGCCCACGUUGGUGGGAGUCUGGAGUCCCUUAUCGAUCGAGGUGGAGGUGGAGGAGAGUGGGGAUGCGGCAAUAGCUACAGCCAGAUCGUGAGGCAACUGGGUUUUUUUUCCUCCUAGGGAAUCGUACUUGUAUAACAAACUAUCCAUAUCUCUAGCGUACACUAUUUUUAUUGCUCUAUCCGGCUGAUUUAUCUCUGGCCCCUCGUUUUUAUUUUUGCCUUUUUUUUAUACCCCACGUAGUUGUAGACAUUGCCUUUCUUAUUUGCCUUUUCUUAUACCCCAUGUACACAAAUGCCGUUAUAAUAUAUUAAAUGAUUAAAUUGGGCAUUCUA